GCGGAGGUCGCUCAAUGGUAGAGCGUCGGCUUCCCAAGCCGAUACCCGCGGGUCCGAUUCCCGUCCUCCGCUCCA
rnacentral:tRNA from 1 species